rnacentral:tRNA from 1 species
UCUCCUGUAGUUUAUAUAAAACAGUUCACUUUCAUUGAUCAGAAGAGUAUUUCUUGGAGAA